CCUACGGGAGGCUGCAGUGGGGAAUAUUGGACAAUGGGGGCAACCCUGAUCCAGCCAUGCCGCGUGUGUGAAGAAGGCCCUCGGGUUGUAAAGCACUUUCAGUGAGGAAGAACGCCUGGUGGUUAAUACCCAUCAGGAAAGACAUCACUCACAGAAGAAGCACCGGCUAACUCCGUGCCAGCAGCCGCGGUAAUACGGAGGGUGCGAGCGUUAAUCGGAAUUACUGGGCGUAAAGCGCGCGUAGGUGGCUUGAUAAGCCAGUUGUGAAAGCCCCGGGCUCAACCUGGGAACGGCAUCCGGAACUGUCAAGCUAGAGUGCAGGAGAGGAAGGUAGAAUUCCCGGUGUAGCGGUGAAAUGCGUAGAGAUCGGGAGGAAUACCAGUGGCGAAGGCGGCCUUCUGGACUGACACUGACACUGAGGUGCGAAAGCGUGGGUAGCAAACAGGAUUAGAUACCCGGGUAGUC
rnacentral:rRNA from 1 species